rnacentral:rRNA from 1 species
GACGAACGCUGGCGGCGUGCUUAACACAUGCAAGUCGAACGGUAAGGCCCUUCGGGGUACACAAGUGGCGAACGGGUGGGUAACACGUGGGUGAUCUGCCCUGCACUUCGGGAUAAGCCUGGGAAACUGGGUCUAAUACCGGAUAGGACCACUGCCUGCAUGGGUGGUGGUGGAAAGCUUUUGCGGUGUGGGAUGGGCCCGCGGCCUAUCAGCUUGUUGGUGGGGUGAUGGCCUACCAAGGCGACGACGGGUAGCCGGCCUGAGAGGGUGACCGGCCACACUGGGACUGAGAUACGGCCCAGACUCCUACGGGAGGCAGCAGUGGGGAAUAUUGCACAAUGGGCGCAAGCCUGAUGCAGCGACGCCGCGUGAGGGAUGACGGCCUUCGGGUUGUAAACCUCUUUCAGCACCGACGAAGCGCAAGUGACGGUAGGUGCAGAAGAAGGACCGGCCAACUACGUGCCAGCAGCCGCGGUAA